rnacentral:lncRNA from 1 species
UCUAAUAUAAAAUUAAUUAAUUUUUUCUUCCUAGAAAUGAACUGGAGUUUUUUGAGAGUCCUUUGAGGCCUGUUUGGAUAUUUCCCUCCCUUCCUCCCAAGCCACCACCUCCUUCGGUGGAAUAGAAGGGGAUUGCAGAGGCAAAGCUAGACUAGGUCUUGGAGGCUGGUGUAAGGCGGUGCGCGGAAGGCAGGACGCUGAUGGGAGAGACUGGUCGAAGAAAAGCCGAAAUGGAUUCUCCGUGCUUUGGAUGGAGAAAGAGGGGGGAAGUGCGAGCUCCUUCAACUCGUUCUGUCCGGUGAGGAGUGAUCCAGCUUGGGCUGACGAGAGGCUCCGGAGCCUUCACGUUCAGUGCUUUUUACCUGCCAAUCAAACUGCUACAAGACAACACCCUGAUCUGGCAUGGUCGCCGCGGGUCCAAGCCUGUAGUCCCAAAUCGGAAAAUCUCUGCAGCUGGUACACGCAAAAGAGAAGCCAGGCAACAGACAUAUUACAGAAGAAAGCUCUCGACUCCGAGAUCGAACCUAGAAAUUGUACUUUCCUCAAGAUCCGCUUAAGAGAAUCUGGCUGA